rnacentral:rRNA from 1 species
GAUGAACGCUAGCUACAGGCUUAACACAUGCAAGUCGAGGGGCAGCAUGGUCUUAGCUUGCUAAGGCCGAUGGCGACCGGCGCACGGGUGAGUAACACGUAUCCAACCUGCCGUCUACUCUUGGACAGCCUUCUGAAAGGAAGAUUAAUACAAGAUGGCAUCAUGAGUCCGCAUGUUCACAUGAUUAAAGGUAUUCCGGUAGACGAUGGGGAUGCGUUCCAUUAGAUAGUAGGCGGGGUAACGGCCCACCUAGUCGUCGAUGGAUAGGGGUUCUGAGAGGAAGGUCCCCCACAUUGGAACUGAGACACGGACCAG